AAUGAACGUUGGCGGCGUGGAUUAGGCAUGCAAGUCGUGCGAGAAGUCUUUUGCUUGCAUUAGACGGAAAGCGGCGAAAGGGAGAGUAACGCGUGGGUACCUACCUCUAGGUUCGGGAUAGCUGCGGGAAACUGUGGGUAAUACCGAAUAACAUCUCCGGAUCAAAGGUGUGAUUCCGCCUGGAGACGGGCCCGCGUCCUAUUAGCUUGUUGGUGGGGUAAUGGCUUACCAAGGCAAUGAUGGGUAUCGGGCGUGAGAGCGUGACCCGACUCACUGGGACUGAGACACUGCCCAGACACCUACGGGUGGCUGCAGUCGAGAAUCUUCGGCAAUGGGCGCAAGCCUGACCGGGCGACGCCGCGGGCGGGAUGAAGGCCCUCGGGUUGUAAACCGCUGUCAGUUGGGAGGAAAUCACAUGGGGUUCUCUCCAUGUGUUGACCUAUCUUCAGAGGAAGGACGGGCUAAGUUCGUGCCAGCCGCCGCCGUAAUAC
rnacentral:rRNA from 1 species